CUAGUCACCCCCUCCCUCACUCUGUCACUAGAGUGAGGGGGUGACUAGUGACAGAGUGAGGGAAGGGGUGACUAGUGGCAGAGUGAGGAAAGGAAGGGGUGACUAAUGACAGAGUGAGGGAGGUGGUGACUGUCACUAGUCACCACCUCCCUCACUCUGUCACUAGUCCCUCCCUCUUUCUGUCACUAGUCACCCCCUCCGUCCCUUACUCUGUCACUAGUCACCCCCUAACUCACUAUGUCACCAGUCAUCCACUCACUCUGUCACCAGUCAUCCCUUCCUUCCCUCACUCUGCCACUAGUCACCCCUUCCCUCACUCUGUCACUAGUCAUUCCCUCACUCUAGUGA